ensembl:lncRNA
CUUGUGGGGAGAGUGAAAGUCCCUCGAUCAUGUCCAACUCUUUGCGACCCCAUAUACAGUCCAUGGGAAUUCUCCAGGCCAGAGUACUGGAGUGGGCAGCCUUUCCCUUCUCCAGCAGAUCUUCCUGACCCAGGAAUUGAGCCGGGGUCUCCUGCAUUGCUGGCGGAUUCUUUGCCAACUGAGCUAUCAGGGAAGCUGUGGGGAGGGGGGCAGCCCCAAACAUUGCCCAUCCAGUGGAGUGCUAAGACAAACAUCCCCAGCCUAUCCAACUCUACCUUCAGCAGCAAGACCAUUCAAGACCCACCAAGAGGAGUGAGGGGUCUUAUUCUGCCUACAUAAUUGAUCAUAUUAGCUCAUUCUGGUGGUGGCACUAAUCGGUCAGAGGAUUAAAAGGCCGCGGGUGCAGCUGGGGUAAGAGGGAAGGUGAGGCGGUGGGUCCUGACAGCAGAGAUGAAGGUUGUGGGGCCCAGGAAGAAAUGCAAAUGAAGGCCCUUGUACCAUACACUCUAGCGCCAAGGUCCUCUGCAUCUCGGCCCUGUAACCAGCCAUGGAGCCAAGUAAGGUAAAACCCGUCUCUUGUGUCUCGGUGUUUGUGAAGGGUGGAGCCCUCCUGAACACGGGGCCCGACGAGGGAUCUCUGUGGUACGGGGCUGAGGGCAGACUUGUACCUGGGGCUUCCCGAUGACGGGCAAGCGGCCCAGGUAGGAGGGUCCCGGCGGAGUGGCCCCACUGCAGGGCCGGGGAGGGCCUGACGGGGUUCGUGGCCUGUUCGGCGGGUGCAUCCGAGGUCGUGAGGAGCGGCUGGACCGCCCUGCGACAGCGCAGGGUCGCAAGGUACCGGGUCCCCGGGCGGUGGCUGCAAAGGGGCAGCAGGAAGACGACGAGGUGGGAAGGGCGCCUCCAGCCCAGCGAUUCUAAGCGAGCGGCCAGGUCUGAAGGCUCGCGGCGGCCCCAUCGCCCGGGGCGGGAGGCCCCUGACCAGCCGGCAGCCAGACCCAGCGCUCUCCGUCCGGAAACGCGCGCCCAGCCCCCGAGACGGGUCCUUCGACUCCCACUGAGUCACCUGGACUCAGGCGAGGGCCCCGGCCCAAGAGGCGGAACUCUCCUCACCGCUGGCUCGUAGUUCGCUCACCCGGCCCCGCGCUGGGCCGGGACCCUCCGCUCGACUACAAGUCCCAGAAGGCCGCGCGGCGCGGGCGGGGAGGGG